rnacentral:rRNA from 1 species
UGGGGAAUAUUGGACAAUGGGCGCAAGCCUGAUCCAGCCAUGCCGCGUGAGUGAUGAAGGCCUUAGGGUUGUAAAGCUCUUUCGGCGGGGAAGAUAAUGACGGUACCCGCAGAAGAAGCCCCGGCUAACUUAAUGCCAGCAGCCGCGGUAAUACGAAGGGGGCUAGCGUUGCUCGGAAUCACUGGGCGUAAAGCGCACGUAGGCGGCUUACUAAGUCAGGGGUGAAAUCCUGGAGCUCAACUCCAGGACUGCCUUUGAUACUGGUGAGCUUGAGUUCGGGAGAGGUGAGUGGAACUGAGAGUGUAGAGGUGAAAUUCGUAGAUAUUCGCAAGAACACCAGUGGCGAAGGCGGCUCACUGGCCCGAUACUGACGCUGAGGCACGAAAGCGUGGGGAGCAAAC